rnacentral:RNase_P_RNA from 1 species
CGAGUUGGCCGGGCGACCGCGGAGCUCAGGUUUCCACCUGGGCGUCGAGGAAAGUCCGGACUUCACAGAGCAGGGUGAUUGUUAACGGCAAUCCGGGGAAACUCGCGGGAAAGUGCCACAGAAAGAAGACCGCCAGAAAUGGUAAGGGUGAAACGGUGCGGUAAGAGCGCACCAGCAUCCCGGGUGACCGGGAUGGCUAGGUAAACCCCACCCGAAGCAAGGCCAAGAAGGCCGCAACCUGGUUGUGGCUGCGCAAGCGUCCGAGGGCUGCUCGCCCGAGCUUGCGGGUAGGCCGCUUGAGGCACCCGGCAACGGUGUGUCCAGAUGGAUGGUCGCCGCCUCACCGGAAACUCCGGAGAGGAACAGAAUCCGGCUUACAGGCCAGCUCGUCCG